ACAACGUGGCUACUGUGCCGCCUGGUGGAUGGCUCGGCUCGAGUGCCGACGACGGACGUGCCAAGCUGCGAUAAGCCUGAGGGAGCCGCACGGAGGCGUAGAACUCAGGAUUUCCGAAUGGGAAUCCCCUCGCAAUUGCCUUGCGCAAUGGGGAACGACCGGAAUUGAAACAUCUCAGUACGGUCAGGAAGAGAAAUCGAAUGAGACGCCGUUAGUAAUCGCGAGUGAACGCGGCAGAGUCCAAACCGAAGCCCCCUUGGGGCAAUGUGGUGUUCGGACUGACUCCCAUCGAGUGAACGAUUGCAGGAAGUCUCCUGAAAUGGAGCGCGAAACAGGGUGACAGCCCCGUAUGACGAUCUAGUAGUUCGUGCGUCAGUUCCAGAGUAGCGGGGACCGGAAAUUCCUCGUGAAUUUGGCAGGCAUCGACUGCUAAGACUAAGUACUCCUCGAGACCGAUAGUGAACAAGUAGCGUGAGCGAACGCUGAAAAGCAUCCCGAGAAGGGAGCUGAAAUAGAGCCUGAAAUCAGGUGGCGAUGGAGCGACUGGGCAUGAAAGGCCCCUCCGAGAACGAGGCGAGUGCAAGCUCGUAGUAGGACCGGAGGGGAGCCGAUGUCCGGUCGUGCGUUUUGAAAAACGAACCAGGGAGUGUGUCUGUUUGGCGAGUCUAACCCGAGUAUCGGGGAAGGCAUAGGGAAACCGACAUGGUCGCAGCAUUGCGAGGACCGCCGUCUUCAAGGGCGGGGAGUCAGACGGACACGACCCGAAACCGAGUGAUCUACGCGUGGGCAAGGUGAAGCAUGGCGAAAGCCAUGUGGAGGCCUGUUAGGGUUGGUGUCUUACAAUACCCUCCCGUGACCUACGUGUAGGGGUGAAAGGCCCAUCGAACUCGGCAACAGCUGGUUCCGACCGAAACAUGUCGAAGCAUGACCUUCGUCGAGGUAGUUCGUGAGGUAGAGCGACCGAUUGGGGAGUCCGCCUCCGAGAGGAGUCGGCCCCCCUGUCGAACUCCGAACUUACGAACGCUGUGGACGCGAGGAAUCCGGUGUGCGGGGUAAGCCUGUGCACCGUAAGGGAGACAACCCAGAGUGAGGUUAAGGUCCCAAAGUACGAGCUAAGUGCGAUUGAAGGUGGUCUCGAGCCCUAAACAGCCGGGAGGUGAGCUUAGAAGCAGCUACCCUCUAAGAAAAGCGUAACAGCUUACCGGCCGAGGUUCGAGGCGCCCAAAAUGAUCGGGGCUCAAGUUCGUCACCGAGACCUCACGGCACCCGUGAAAGGGUGAUCCAGUAGGUCGGCGUUCUGUUCGGGUGGAAGCGCGGGCGAGAGUUCGCGUGGACCGUGCAGAAACGAAAAUCCUGGUCAUAGUAGCAGCGUUAGUCGGGUGUGAACCCCGACGACCGCAAGAGCAAGGGUUCCUCGGCACUGUUAGUCAGCCGAGGGUUAGUCGGUCCUAAGUCCCACCGUAAUUCGAAUGGGACAAAAGGGAAACUGGUUAAUAUUCCAGUACUGUUGUGCAGUGAAAGUUGACGCCUCGGGGUAUGUCGAGCCGGACGAUCGUCCGGUCGAACCGUCGAAAUCCGUGGAAGCCGUAAUGGCAGGAAGCGGACGAAUGGCGGGAUAGGGAAACUCGAUUCAACCUGGGGCCCGUGAAAAGACGAGCACAACAUCCGUACCGAGAUCCGACACAGGUGCUCUGGCUUGGAAAGCCAAGGUCUGUCGGGAUUAACCGACGUCAGGGAAUUCGGCAAAUUGGUCCCGUAAGUUCGCGAUAAGGGAUGCCUGCCUCGGGAUGAGGCAGGUCGCAGUGACAUGGAAGCUCCGACUGUCUAGUAACAACAUAGGUGACCGCAAAUCCGAAAGGACUCGUACGGUCACUGAAUCCUGCCCAGUGCGGGUAUCUGAACACCUCGUACAAGAGGACGAAGGACCCGUUAACGGCGGGGGUAACUAUGACCCUCUUAAGGUAGCGUAGUACCUUGCCGCUUCAGUAGCGGCUUGCAUGAAUGGAUCAACGAGAGCUUCGCUGUCCCGACGUUGGGCCCGGUGAACUGUACGUUCCAGUGCGGAGUCUGGAGACCCCCAAGGGGAAGCGAAGACCCUAUAGAGCUUUACUGCAGGCUGUCGCUGGGACACGGUCGCUGAUGUGCAG
rnacentral:rRNA from 1 species